rnacentral:tRNA from 1 species
GAGAGUGUAGCUCAUGGGUAGAGCACUUGCCUUUCAUGAGCAAGGACCUGGGAUCAAUCCCAGCACCACCA